GAUGAACGCUGGCGGUAUGCUUAACACAUGCAAGUCGAACGGACUCUCCGGAGUUUGUGGCGGACGGCGGAGUAACGCGUGGGAAUCUGGCCUUGGGUUCGGGACAACUACUGGAAACGGUGGCUAAUACCGGAUGGGCCGAGAGGUAAAAGAGAAAUUGCCUGAAGAUGAGCUCGGGUCUGAUUAGCUAGUUGGUGAGAUAAAGGCACACUAAGGCAGCGAUUAGUAGCUGGUCUGAGAGGAUGACCAGCCACACGGAGACUGAGACACGGCAGAGACUUCUGGGGGGGACAGGAGGGGGGAAUUUCCCAAUAGGGGCGAGAGCGUGACGGAGCAGUCCCGUGUGGGAGAAGAAGGCUCUGGGGUUGUAAACCUUUUUUCUUAGAGAAGGACAGAAUGACGGUACCUAAUAAAGCAGCAUCGGCUAACUACGUG
rnacentral:rRNA from 1 species